UACGUAGGGUGCGAGCGUUGUCCGGAAUUAUUGGGCGUAAAGAGCUCGUAGGCGGUUUGUCGCGUCUGCCGUGAAAGUCCGGGGCUCAACUCCGGAUCUGCGGUGGGUACGGGCAGACUAGAGUGAUGUAGGGGAGACUGGAAUUCCUGGUGUAGCGGUGAAAUGCGCAGAUAUCAGGAGGAACACCGGUGGCGAAGGCGGUUCUCUGGGCCUGUACUGACGCUGAAGCGCGAAAGCGUGGGGAGCAAACGGG
rnacentral:rRNA from 1 species